GAUGAACGCUGGCGGCGUGCCUAAUACAUGCAAGUCGAGCAACAGACGAGGAGCUUGCUUCUUUGACGUUAGCGGCGGAAGGGGGAGUAACACGUGGAUAACCUACCUAUAAGACUGGGGUAACUUCGGGAAACCGGAGCCAAUAACGGAUAAUUUAUUGAACCGCAUGGUUUAAUAGUGAAAGAAGGUUUUGCUGUCACUUAUAGAUUGAUCCGCGCCGCAUUAGCUAGUUGGUAAGGUAACGGCUUACCAAGGCAACGAUGCGUAGCCGACCUGAGAGGGUGAUCGGCCACACUGGAACUGAGACACGGUCCAGACUCCUACGGGAGGCAGCAGUAGGGAAUCUUCCGCAAUGGGCGAAAGCCUGACGGAGCAACGCCGCGUGAGUGAUGAAGGUCUUCGGAUCGUAAAACUCUGUUAUUAGGGAAGAACAAAUGUGUAAGUAACUAUGCACGUCUUGACGGUACCUAAUCAGAAAGCCACGGCUAACUACGUG
rnacentral:rRNA from 1 species